rnacentral:rRNA from 1 species
GACGAACGCUGGCGGCGUGCCUAACACAUGCAAGUCGAACGGAAGGGCCCUACUUUGGUGGGGUGAUCGAGUGGCGAACGGGUGAGUAACACGUGAGUAACCUGCCCUAGACUUUGGGAUAACAUCAGGAAACGAGGGCUAAUACCGGAUAGGAGCUCCUGCUGGAUGGGGGGGGUGGGAAAGUUUGGGCUGUUGGGGAUGGACUGGCGGCUUAUGAGUUUGUUGGUGGGGUAGUGGCUGACCAAGACUGUGACGGGUAGCCGGCCUGAGAGGGGGACCGGCAACAUUGCGACUGAGAUAAGGCCCAGACUCGAAUGGGAGGCAGGGGUGGGGAAUAUUGUACAAUGGGAGGAAGCCUGAUGAGGCAACGCCGCGUGGGGGAUGACGGCCUGCUGGUUGUAAACCGCUUUCGCCUGUUACGAAGCGUGAGUGACGGUACUCGAUAAAGAAGCACCGGCUAACUACGUG